ACCUCCUUAGAUGGGGAGUCAGAGGAAGGGUGUGCCUGGGAGGUGGUGGCCAAUCUUUUCUCCCCAGGACAUCUGGGGGACUGAGAAACGUCACUCCCAUCAGCAGCAAGCUCCACACAGCAGUGAUGAUCACAGGGCAGGAAGAGCACUGUAUCAAACUCAGCCAUCUUCCUCACUCUACACUUCAUUGAGUUUCCUGCAGACAGUAGAGGACCAGACUGAGCUGCUCAUCUGCUGCUGUUAUGAAUCAUCCAGUUCGUUUUAUUAGUCUCUCACAGCUGUGUGAUGUAGCACAACCAGUCUGGAUUUUAGGAUCUCAGGCAUCUGCAGAGGGGGCAGUGGGAAGUGGUUGGCCUAGUGGGACAAGCAGCAUCCCAACUGGACCUAGGUGUGUGUGCAGAACCGUCAGAGAGCUCAAGGUGUUUUGUGUAGCUAGAGUCAAGGUGUCCAGGAGGAAAGAGAGGACAGUAGGGCCUGCUCAGAUUGGCAAGCACCAGAUUUUGGAGGAUUUUGUAAAUCAAGGAGUUUGGGCCUUAUAGGCACUGAGGAAAGGCUAAGGGUUUAAAUGGUGACAUGACUAGCUAUUUUAGAUUUCCCUGGAGGCCAUUCACAAUUUGAAUGAUUAAGGAAUAAGGUCCAGGUAGAUAGGGUAGGAAAUAAGACGGCCCCACCUAGAGCAGGUGCAGGGUGCAAAGGAGAGGAUGGCUUUGAAUGGGACCUAGCAGUCUGCUGAGGCACAGAUGCUAGCAGUGAGGGAUGAGAGGAUCCUGGGUAAGAACAGGACUCUUGGAUCCCAACUCUGCCACUUGGCAACUAGGUGCCUUUGGAUGAGGAAAUUUUCCUUGGUGUGUAGUGGGGUCAGCAGCACCAGCUCCCUCCUAGGGUGUGGUGAACACGAACCCGGCUCCUACCUUCCAGGUGCUCUGCACAGCGCCCAGCAGUGUUGGUGUUGGCAACUGUCACCACUGUUAGGACCUGUCACAAUAUCAUGGAGGUUUGCUGAAUAUUGACCAUAGCACAGCUUUAAUGUGACACUUGGUCCAUUUUUCUCCCCAAAGAUUAAGUUCCUCCCCACAAGCAUCUCUGUCUACUAUGAAGACCCCAAAAGUGGCUUCGUCCCCUUCAGCGAUGGCCAAGAGGAUAAACAGAGGCUCUUCAUCUUCAGGCUCCAGUAUAAGAAGUUUUUCCAUAAACUCCCGGCUAGCCAGUUCUCUGGGGAACCUGAACGCUGCAACAGACGAGCCUGAGAACAGAAAGACAUCCUCGUCCUCCAAGGCAAGUUUCACAGCCAGCCCAUUCACCAACCUCUUGAAUGGCAGUCCCCAGUCACCUGCUAGAAACUACCCUGAGCUCAACAACAACCAGUACAUCAAAAGCAGCAGCGGCAGCAGUGGCACCAACCUCAACAGCCACCUGGGGCCUCUGAGUCCCAAGUCUGAGGACCAUGCCACCAUCCUCCGUCCCUCCUACACUGGGCUGUCUUCCUCUUCAGCCAGAUUCCUGAGCCGUUCUAUCCCCGUAAGUCCACAGACACCACCUUUUGCUUCCCAGAACCCUGAAUGCAACUUUUGUGCUUUGCCUUCCCAGCCGAGGCUGCCACCAAAGAAAUUCAAUAGUGCCAAGGAGGCCUUCUGACAGCGUCUUCCCUCUGUGCUCUGAAACUGUCCACGCACUCCAUUCUGCUGGCUCCUCUUCAAUCCCUCCAGUCUGAAUAUGUUCAUUACUAAUGCCUGGCCACUCUGGGGAAAGCGGUUCCAUUCUUAGCCGUCUGGACGGGCCACGUGGACGAAAGGACCUGCUUGCCUGAAGGAUACCCCUGUCUUCUUACCCUAAGCACUAAGAUAACACUUCAGGAGACUUGAAGCCAGAAAACUGGUGAAUGACUACUCUAAAUGCACUGAAACUCUUUCUGGAGAUUUCCACACUUUUAUUUAAGACAGUUUUAAUGUUGAACUUGGUAUUUCGAAAGGUUAUUUUUAAUGUAUUUCAGUAAUACAUUUGUUAUUACAUUUCUAUGUACAGUAUUACAUUAUGUAUGUAUUGUGAGCUUUAAAAGACUAUUUUGAUAAAUUUAUAAAUAUAUAAAAUUAUGUAAAAACUAGGCUAUAUUUUGAUUGAGAUUUUCCUGCCGUUUGCUACCAAAAAUUUGUAUUUUAAACUUGUUUAGUAUUAGUAUGGUUUUGUCUACAAUGAAUAAAUAAUACCUCCUUAUUAAGAAAAAGUAAGGGGGCUGGAGGAGUGGCUCAAGUGACAGAGCACCUGCCUAGCAAGUGCUGAGGCCCUGAGUUCAAACCUCAGUACCAUCAAGAAAAUAAUAAUAAGGGAGAAAGCUUUUAGAAAGUGAAUUUUUUUGCAACCAGCAUGAGUUCAGUAUCAGGUCCAGACGUUCUUUGGAGAAGUAGGUGAAAUUUAAAGAGCUCAUUCAAGUUUAUCUCUACCAAGAGUAGAAUUGUUUGACAGGGCUUACCUAGGACAAAACCUUCCCUUUUGUUUUUGUUCCUGAGCCGUUUAAAUUAGCUUUGCAUCCUGAAAGGCUUAAGAAGAAUAAAACGUAGCAUCCACCUGUACUUCAGAAUUCACUGGAUAUUUCUCCUGAUUUUUCUCUAAGAAGUGAGUGACCAUUCCAAACGCUUUUAUCUCUUCCCACCUAUCACAAGAGUGCUUUUUCCUUUCUUCUUCUUCUUUUUUUUUUAAUGAAUGCCUUAAACCAUUUAUUCUGCUUAUAUUUUUCUCUUGAACAUUUGCAGAGGAGGGAUACAUAUUUUAAAAUCCAUUUAGUGUCAGAGCUCUGUCACUAAAUGUACAACAGUGAGUUUAAUAACAAAAAACAGUUGUAAAGUUAUGAAGUCAAUUAGAAUAUUCUGCUUUGGGUACGAGGUGGAGGUUGCCUUGUAAUCACAGGUGGUCAGACACCACUUUUAAAUCAAUGAAGGAAAAACUGGAAAAGAUGCUGCUGACAGUUCUCUGUAGUAAAGGAGGCGUUUCUGAACAGAAUUCAGCUCCCUGAUGCACACGCUGGUAGAUCUGGAACCUAGCGUGCAAAUGAAAGGACCCUGCCAUGGGUACUCAGCCUUUUCAUGUAUGUGUGAUCUUAUGUCCAGGGCUCCAGAAGCCUGUCAGCUUCAUCUCCGUGAGGGAUGGAGAGUCCAUCCCCAUUCUCUUCCAGGCAACUCGGACACUGCAAAUGCUUGUUAAACAGAGCCUCAUGAGGAGCUCUGUCCAACCAUUCAGUUAUUUGCAAUGUAUUUACUAAGAGGUGGUUCUCCGUGCUUGUUCCUGACUUACACUUUGCAAAAGGCAUUUGGUGAAUGUUUGACUCAGGUUUAUUAACAUCACUUUCAGUAACUGCAGUACAAAUAAUUGCACUUGACCAAUGGAAAAAUGAAUGAUAUGGUUUAGAAAUCUGAAGUUCAAGUAAGUGGGAUGAAAUUGCCUAUCUUUUCUAACUCUGAAAGAAGUGAAAUAUUUUAUUAUGAAUUACUGUACAAAACAAGUUUUGGUUAGUUUAGGAAGAUGAUAGUAUUUUUUUCACAUUGUCAUUGGAAAAGCGAUUCAGGUGACAUUUGUGUCAAAAUGUCAGGGGAAAGAGCACCGUGUUGACAUUUUUAGUUCUGUGAACACUAAUUUGUGUGCAGCUAUUAAAAUGAUUGUAAA